rnacentral:rRNA from 1 species
UACGGAGGGUGCAAGCGUUGCUCGGAAUUAUUGGGCGUAAAGAGCUCGUAGGCGGUCUGUCGCGUCUGCUGUGAAAAUCCAGGGCUCAACCCUGGACCUGCAGUGGGUACGGGCAGACUAGAGUGCGGUAGGGGAGAUCGGAAUUCCUGGUGUAGCGGUGGAAUGCGCAGAUAUCGGGAGGAACACCAGUGGCGGAAGGCGGUUCUCUGGGACGGUACUGACGCUGAGACGCGAAAGCGUGGGGAGCGAACAGG